UACGUAGGGAGCAAGCGUUGUCCGGAUUUAUUGGGCGUAAAGAGCUCGUAGGCGGUUCCGUAAGCCAGGUGUGAAAAAUCUGGGCUCAACCCAGUGGAGCACCUGAUACUGCGGUGACUCGAGUCCGGUAGGGGAGUGUGGAAUUCCUGGUGUAGCGGUGAAAUGCGCAGAUAUCAGGAGGAACACCGACGGCGAAGGCAGCACUCUGGGCCGGUACUGACGCUGAGGAGCGAAAGCAUGGGGAGCGAACAGG
rnacentral:rRNA from 1 species